rnacentral:rRNA from 1 species
UACGUAGGGUGCAAGCGUUGUCCGGAAUUAUUGGGCGUAAAGAGCUUGUAGGCGGUCUGUCGCGUCGGCUGUGAAAACCCGGGGCUCAACCCCGGGCCUGCAGUCGAUACGGCCAGACUAGAGUGCGGUAGGGGAGACUGGAAUUCCUGGUGUAGCGGUGAAAUGCGCAGAUAUCAGGAGGAACACCGGUGGCGAAGGCGGGUCUCUGGGCCGUAACUGACGCUGAGGAGCGAAAGCGUGGGGAGCGAACAGG